rnacentral:lncRNA from 1 species
CUACCAAGCUCUGAAAAGCUAAGGAAAUUAAAUGCUUCUCUGCAAACUGUGCAGUUCGCCUGUACAUUUAUAUCUGAGUUUAUGCUUUCAACUGUUUUCUUUAUACUUAAAUUUGCAUUACAUCAUUUAUUUUCUGUUGUCUAUUACUAUAAAAACAAACUCAGUAACUCAGUGAUGUAUUUUUGAUUUUGGCAGAUAAGCUCCUCCUCCCACAUGUUCACUAGUAGUGAAGCUCUGCCCACUGCAACACGUCAUCAGUGAAACUCCUCCUACAGUAAUUCAUCAAUAAAUGCUGGAAUAUCUCCAUCAGUUCACAAGUGAAGACGAGCAUCAACUCAUCAGGAAGAGCUGAAAUCUGCAAAGACUGAGUUUAUUAAAGAGGACAGAGAGAAGAUGAGAGAUCCAGAACCCUGCAGAAUCAAACACACUGAAGAUACUGAAGAACAAACAGAGUCAAUUGAAGAAAAUGAGGAGAAUGAUGAACUGAGUGAAGUUGAGGAGAAAAAUCAUGUCAAAACUGGAGAAAAACCCUUGAGCUGCUCUCAAACCAAACACCCAAAGAAAGAUUUAAAGAAAAAAAGAGACAAGAAAUCUUUCACAUGCACUCAGUGUGGAAAGAGUUUGACAAGCAAAUAUAAUCUUGAUGUUCACAUGAGAGUUCAUACUGGAGAGAAACC